GUAGUGAAAAGCAAAACCAAAGCAGAGCCAUGCUGCUGAAAUUCUUUCAACUCAUGUUUCAGACAGAGGAUCUGCAAUGUCAUCUCAGAAGAGUCUUUUGGCUUAAGAAGCAUCUUGUUUUAAAAUUGUAUGCCUUCUUCUGGAAUGAUAGUACUUACAGGGCUGUCCAGAGACCCAGGGGUCCCUAGGUCUUUUUUGGAGGUCAGUGAGAUAGAAACUACCUUUAUAAUAAUAGUAACACUAUUUGCCUUUAUCACUUUCAUUCUUUCUCCAUUCUACAGUAUAGUUUUCCAGGGCUCUAAUGACAUGUGCUAUUAGGACAGGUUCAAUGCAGAACCAAAACAGACUUCAGCUGCUGGUAGUAAGCCAGACAUGAAAGAGAUGUGCAAAAUGUAAAGCAAUUGGUCUUGUUGUUAUCUUUGCUGCCUUGUGUGAGCCAUGUUUUUCUCUUCAAUGCUUGUUUGCCACCCCAGUCUCAGAGCCAGCUGAUUAUGGACUGUAACCUCUACGAACCGUGAAAUGAAUCAGAAAUACAGAGAACUAAAAAAACGGGAAGAAAAUAUGGACACUUUCAUAGACACUUUUGAGGAAACUAAGAAUCAGGAACUGGAACGGAAGGCACAGUUAGAAGCCAGCAUUGUUGCACUUUUGGGGUAUUGUAGUAGGAAUAUAAAUCAUAUGAAACAGAUAUCUUCUAUGACCAACCAGGAACUAAAGAUGAUGCAGGAUGACGUCAAUUUUAAAUCUACUGAAAUGCAGAAAUCACAAAAUACCGCUAGGAAUUUGACUUCAGACAGUCAACGACUACAGUUAGAUCUACAGAAAAUGGAGCUCUUGGAAAGUAAGAUGCUAGAGGAGCAACAUUCUCUGAAAAGCAAAGUUAAGCAAAUGACAGUGGAUCUGGAGACAUAUAAUGAUUUGCCAGCUUUAAAAUUAUCAGGUGAAGAAAAGAGAAAGCUUACAAAUUUGGAGAGAAAGUGGCAACACCAUGAGCAAAAUAAUUUUGUGAUGAAAGAAUUCAUAGCAACCAAGAGUCAGGAAAGUGAUUACCAGCAAAUCAUUAAAAAUGUGACCAAGCAGAUUUCGGAGUACAACAGAACCAUCGUGGACGCUCUACAUAAUACUAGCAGGAACGGAGUCUGAAUCAACCAAUAGUUUCUGUAGAAGUUAUCUUCUUGAUGCUAAACUUUGUACAAGAUGACUGAAAAAUUACAAUAUCUUGCCUUUUAAGAGUUAUAUCUAAAAUUUCUAAAUGCUAUAAUUUUUGUGGCCUCUUUAAAGAGUGUUGUUUUAAAUAGUUUAAUAGUUCAGUAAAGAAUUCUCAUAUAAAAAAGUGUCAUCUCAAAAAAAAUGUAAAGCAAUUGUACUUUACGCAUGAGUUUUUCUAUUUUGUUAUGGAAAAUA
rnacentral:lncRNA from 1 species